CAGCACAAUUGUAAUGUACCUUCAACUCACAAAAAUUUGAAACACUUGUAAUUGCUGGUACAUCCUGUCAAUAACCAGGCUCAGUCAUUCAUGCCUGUUUAAACUCCACCUGGAAGAGGCAAUAGCAGAUUUUCUGACUCAGAAAAAGAAAGGAUCCUUGCUUCAGAGAAGAAUUCAGUGCAACAAUUGAACAUCAGUAUGAACUUCCAGGCUAUAAGGAAAGCUAAACCAGGUCAGAUGAGCAGAAGUGGUGAUUGGCUGCAAGUGGACUGAACCUGAGGAUUCUGGGAGACAAGAGCAGAAGGUCCAAUGGAACUGAUGGUCCUUAUGUUCCUCAAGAGUGAGAGGUAUUAUGGCCAAAUUGGUAAGUGAAUAAUUUAAUUGUAUUUCUUAAAAGUGUGAGGGGCUGACAAGUAGUAACAUUAAACUUAAUGUGGGGAAUUACAUGUAUUCUGAGAAUUAGAAAAUUCUGGGGGUGUCAGUAAGACAUAAGAUUAAUGUAUUGUCCUUUAAGUAAGACCUAAGUGGUUCUUUCCAAGAAAAGGAGUAAUCAAAGUAAAUUCCCAUUACCAGUGGAUUCUUGUGCAGCUUAGUGAGGUGAGUUUUUCAUGUCAUCGUUUCAUUUGCUGGAGAGCAUUGCCAUUGUUUUCUGACCAAAUUCCCAUUAGCACUGGAUU
ensembl:lncRNA